rnacentral:rRNA from 1 species
GACGAACGCUGGCGGCGUGCUUAACACAUGCAAGUCGAACGGAAAGGCCCUGCUUUUGUGGGGUGCUCGAGUGGCGAACGGGUGAGUAACACGUGAGUAACCUGCCCUUGACUUUGGGAUAACUUCAGGAAACUGGGGCUAAUACCGGAUAGGAGCCCCUGCUGCAUGGUGGGGGUUGGAAAGUCUCGGCGGUUGGGGAUGGACUCGCGGCUUAUCAGCUUGUUGGUGGGGUAGUGGCUUACCAAGGCUUUGACGGGUAGCCGGCCUGAGAGGGUGACCGGCCACAUUGGGACUGAGAUACGGCCCAGACUCCUACGGGAGGCAGCAGUGGGGAAUAUUGCACAAUGGGCGGAAGCCUGAUGCAGCAACGCCGCGUGCGGGAUGACGGCCUUCGGGUUGUAAACCGCUUUCGCCUGUGACGAAGCGUGAGUGACGGUAAUGGGUAAAGAAGCACCGGCUAACUACGUG